rnacentral:lncRNA from 13 species
CAGGUUAGUCCCUGUCUCAAAAAAAAAAAAAAAGCAAAUGGUUUUACCCGUAAUUUAUUAAAAUAUACAAAUAUAUUUUCCCAACAAUAGAUUAAUUAAUAUAUAAUUAAUUAAUAUGGUAAUAUGUGUACAAUAUGUAUGUUAAUUGUAAGUGUUAAGUUAUGAAUUCAUCCCUGAAAUGUAGACUGAAGGCCCGGGAGACGGCCUCCUACAGCUAAACUCGGUGCUCUUUCUCUAGCAGGGGCUGUGCCUCUGUGACCCUGAGGCUGGACUCAACCCCCAGGAAUGGAAAGAAGUCACAAGGAGCUCGGCUGGCUGAGCACCAAGACGGUGCCCCGAAAGCCCCUUUUUGGAGAAAUCCCCUAAUAUGUCCACUGCAGGGUUAGGAGAAUGUGGAGCACGUGACAGUGGCUCCCCUGCUUCCACAUGCCCCUAACCCGGAAUUGGAGGGGAUCAUUUGCGUCACUACAAAAAACUAUCCUGGGCCGAUAAUUACUUCUCUUGAGCGUUCAAAACGUGUUUUCAAUUCCGUUUUCCAGCGGAGGAGCUGGAGGCCAUGGAAUUUCUACCUCCCAUGCUACUACCUUCCACCUGGCGGCCUCAGAUGAGAUCGGCCUUGGCUCAUAACCUCAAGAGAGUGCAGCUGGGAGGCCCUGGCAGCGCUAAGCAGGGCCCAGCCUGGGUGGAGCCCCCACUGCGGCUGGAACGGUGGAGCCUCACGGACUCUGGCUGGGGUCGCAGGGCAGAAUCCAGGCUUAGGGCGCUACAGUGGAGGCUGCUUGAGAGCUGUGGCCACAUCAUGGGAUCUCUGCUACCCCAGCCUUCCCGCACAUUCCAGGCCUAGAGACACAUGGAAUGAGUGAAUGAUGAACAAGUGAAAUCAUCAGUAUUCAGCCCAGCCAUGAUCAACCAGGCUCUCAUCUGAAAGCCGCAAAGGUCAGAGAUCUGCUGGUCUAAACCCUGUUUGGUUUUGAGGAGGAUGAAAUCCCCAUGGAUGGAGUUAUC